GUGGAUUAGAUACCCUGGUAGUCCACGCCCUAAACGAUGUCUACUAGUUGUCGGGUCUUAAUUGACUUGGUAACGCAGCUAACGCGUGAAGUAGACCGCCUGGGGAGUACGGUCGCAAGAUUAAAACUCAAAGGAAUUGACGGGGACCCGCACAAGCGGUGGAUGAUGUGGAUUAAUUCGAUGCAACGCGAAAAACCUUACCUACCCUUGACAUGUACGGAACCCUGCUGAGAGGUGGGGGUGCUCGAAAGAGAACCGUAACACAGGUGCUGCACGGUCGUCGCCAGCU
rnacentral:rRNA from 1 species